AGCCAAAGAUUUCUAGCAACAUCUGAUUUAUAAAAUCCCUUUUCUCUAGAUAAAGAAACAAGCCUAUAAGAACUUGUUUACUCAGUUCUCUCUUCUUCAAGAUAGUAGAGUGAAGGGGUAGGAGGGAAGGGAGAAUGAGCAGUGGGAGUGACAAAGUGCCAAAAGCAAGGGAAAGUGUGAGGUCUUGAGGCAAAGGAGUUCAUAGUAGGAAGAAUGCAGUUGAUUCCUUGAUGCUACUCAUUAACUACGUCAAUAUCCUUCUGGCCUUGGUGGCAUCUUUCCAGACCUGGGGGAUGCAUUUAACAUCCUCCCUGAAGUACAUGAACAACGAGAGAAAUGGAGACGUGCAUCUACUCCCCUGAAUUCUUUUUUUCAAUUUCUUAAAAAUCCCAGUGUAAAAAAUAAAGGUUUAUUCAGUA